rnacentral:lncRNA from 1 species
UAAAUAUAGCUAGGUGUACUUGUUUGAUUCAUUGUGAUUCUGCUGGAAUCUACUGAAUGCUAAUCAUUAUUGAUGUUUAAUGACAUCAUGUUGAAACAUUGUUUCAUUUUGAAUAAAAGAGGCAUAUCCUAUUUAAUGACAAAAUAAUUCUGAGAAACUCAAGUGACCAUAUACUUGUAAACGUCAACAGAUGUAACGGACAUAAAAAUUUUACUAGCAUAUAGCUGUAAUAAAAAUGGAGAUUGAGGAAGUAAAAAUUAUUACCUCAUGCAAUUGGGAAAAUUAUAUGUCUAUCUCAAAUUGGUGGAUACUGAAAGCUAAUCCACUUGGAUUAAAUUUCUUCUUCUUUUUUUUUUUUAAGUCUUUAUUUAUUUUUAUGUGGUGCUAAGGAUUGAACCCAGCGCCUCGCACAUGCUAGGCAAGCACUCUACCACUGAGCCACAACCCCAGCCCCUGGAUUAAACUUCUUUAUGAAAGUAGUUACAAUAUUAUAUGGUUAUAUUAGUGGGAAUUAGGUCUUUAUAUUAGUUGUAUUACUUAAAAGUGCAUUAAAAACAAAAGUUCUAACCGUUUUCAACACAGGUAUGAAAGUGAAAUUGUUAGCUUUUUAAAAAAUGGACUUUAUGUACAUUAUUAAAAUAAUAUGAAAAGGUUAUCUCCUGAGUCAGGCUGGCUACUGUUGUACACCUACUUUAGUAGCAGAAUUAUCUAGUUACAAUUUAUUACGUUCAUUUUAUUUAAGUACUGAAAGUUUUACUUUUUAAGCUUCUUUGCUAACUGAAAACAGAAACUAAAAAACAAAAAUGUUAAGCACAACAAUC